AUAAGUACCCCGUGUCUUUCUACUUCCUAACCAUUCCCUCUCCUCUUCUCAACACACGCACACACAGCCUCAACCACUUCCACCGCCAAGAAUCCUGCUGCCACCGUCGAGGUUUCCUUCUCCACCGUUGCCGGCACCACCUCCUAUGCCGAGAACCAUAGCAAAUCUGCGGCAUCUCUGGCCGUUGUCGCAAGCAGUCCUUCUGCGACAACCACAACCUUGACCCACCUUCUUCCCCAAUUAUUGCUUUUUGUUUUGCGUUUUUUUACCCUUCCCCAAUUCUCUCGCUCUACUAGAUCUGAUCUCAAAGAAGCUAGAGGUAAGUGAAAAACCCCAAGUCCAGAUCUCUCUUACGAUUACUCUAGUGUAUAUAUGCUUUUGAUGAUUUGGUAUAGUUGCUUUAUUGUAUUGUGAUUUGAAUAUGUAUCUUUGUGGAAUACAAUAGUUUCUUAAUAGGUUUUUCUCCAGCAAAUGAACUGAAUUUCAAUUUAUGGCUGCAAAAGCAUGUGGUAAAAUUGUAAAGAAUUAAAUUUCAUAGGAUUCAUUGUGUUCAGCGAUCUGUUCCUUUUGGUAUUGUUGCUUUUGAUUUGGCUUUUCCACCUUUUUUCUCCAAGAUGGUGGUUUAGGUUGGAGGAAUAAUGGAGCUCGUUUGAUGGGUUUAAAUUCGUUUUGCCUGUGAGUAUGAUACAAGUUGGAUUUGUGUGAUAAAAGUGGCGAAUAUAACUAUGUUAUAUGGAGUGCACAUCCGAAAGAGUUAUGGCAUGUUUGGGAUGGUGGACUAGACUGCCGAAUCAUUAUUAAUUGAAAAAAAAAAGUUGUUAAAAUCUUACUGAUCGCAGUGACAAGUCCUGUUUAGUACCACAAAAAUUUAUCCUAAUGAUUGAGUAGACAUUUUAUGCACUAGCAGCAUGAAUUCUUUGUUGACACAAAAAAACCUCCUAGUCUGCCAUGUUGCACUACUUCAUGUGUUAGAUAGGAGGGUAGUACAUGUGGCACACUUUUAUCUGCACUUCAAGUAUUCGUUGGCUUUUGUCUGUUUUUGCAUUUGAAUUUUUGAAAAGUAAAUGGAGAGAGCUCGGCAUAGGAAGUCCAAGAGUGCUACAAGCAUUGAAGGUAAAAAAAUUCCAUCUCUCGUUCUAUGACUAUAUAUUUUGAUAGAAUAUUUUUUGAAUGGUUAAGCACUUUGGUCUUUUGUGAAGAGAAAUUUUGUUUUGGUAAGAAAAGGGAAGAGGUUUAGGAGAGUUUUAAUUAAAUAAUUGUGUUUGCUACUUUCACGACAUUGCCAAAAUUUAAUGGAAUUAUUCAUUUUAUUUUCCAAAUAUCCUUCUUGUGAGAUUUUUUUUUUUUGUCAUUGAAUAAUCUGUUUAUUCAUUAAGCAAUAAAAAAAGAAUCUUUGUUGAGCUGUUUAAUUUCUGUUUCUUUUUGUUGUUAAAUGUAAAGAUUAUAAUUGACAUGAGUUAAUUAUAGGUGUUGAGCAUGCUUUUGCUAAAGUAAGUGUUUUCUCAAGUGGGAUUAAAUAGGGACCUCUUUUUUCUAUUUUUUGUAAUGGUAUGAUGGUAUCAGCAUUAUUUUGUUCCCUUUUCCUUAUAGAGCUUUCUUCUUAUGAUAAAUUAUCAUAAUUGGGCCAAGUCCUUCAGGAAAACCUACGCUAGUUUUAUUCACAUUUUCCUUUAAAUUCUAUUUAAGCGCAUCGUACAGUUUUCCCAAUUUUUAAAAUGAUUCCUUCAACAUAUAGUUUGUAAUUUUAGACUCAUGGAAUACAUUAGCUGCUACAUUCGUAUUUAACUUGAUUUGAUCUCGGGAGAUGUGGCUGUUAGAAAAAUGUAAAAUUGGCGUUCAAAACUACCAAUUAGAAGAAAUAUGUGUUGGAGAGAAAAUAAUUAAAGUUUGUCCCACGUAGAAAAAUUUACAAGACACCGACUAGUUUAUAUAUGACCACGCUUUAGAAAAGUGUAAUCAAGUAGCAUAAAAUUCACUCUACUGUGCUCCCACUAGGGUGUAAAUUAUUAACUUGAUUAGCACCUUAUGCCAUUGUAGUUAUGCGCAAGUGCGAUUAGCGUAUACAAAUGUCGGAUCGAAAUUGACUACUUAUAAGGAUUUGUAUUUUGCCUUUAUUUUGUAGUUUUUUUUAUUGUUUUUUUUCCUUUCAACUGACUUUCUUGCUGCUAAAACUCUUGUGUUUAUUGCAUAUAUUAACGAAAAGAUUAUACAGUUAGAUUAUGAUGGUGUUAAUGGUUGUAACACAUUUAAUUGUCGAUUGUUAAGUUACUCAUUACAACCUUUUAUUAUGUAGGUCAGUUUUCUCCUUUGCUCCACACACAAAAAUUCCAAUCUUCUUUAUAGUUCCUUUCUAACUAGAAUGUUUCGUUAUAUUAUGAAAGACAGACACUCAAACAAAACCUCAAGCACUUACGAUAAGGGAAAGAGUCUAUUUAAAAGGUGUCCCAGCUUAGCCGGACUAAAUCCUGGACCUCUAGCCCCCGGCCCCUCAGUGACUAGUGGAGGUAAAUCGCAGGUUGUGCCCUUGUUGGUUCCCAGAUUCCCACAUGACUUUUACUCCUUCCCCAAAGGAACCCUCCUCCAUGGUUAUUACAUCACCAAGCUGCUCCAACCCUUCCUCUGAUUAUUACAUCACUUGGCUGCUCCAACCAGGAAUCGAACUCCCCACACUUGGUUCCAGAGCCCCCCAAUGUGAUUGUUCCGCCAAUUUGGAUGUACCCUGGGGGGCGUUGACAAGAGUUAUGUUUGUGGUUGGUUGUUUAUGCUCAAUAUAAUGGUCAGCAAGUUGAAAUGAAUAAAAGUAAUUCAUUUGCUUC